UCCUUAGGUUAAGUUAAACUACUAUUUUUCAAAAAUAGAGUUGUCUAUUAGGCAGGAGGAG
rnacentral:tRNA from 1 species